rnacentral:rRNA from 1 species
GGUGUAGCGGUGAAAUGCGUAGAUAUCGGGAAGAACACCAGUGGCGAAGGCGCUCUACUGGGCCGCGACUGACGCUGAGGGACGAAAGCUAGGGGAGCGAAAGGGAUUAGAUACCCCUGUAGUCCUAGCUGUAAACGAUGGACACUAGGUGUUGGGCGUAUCGACCCGUUCAGUACCGUAGCUAACGCGUUAAGUGUCCCGCCCUGGGGAGUACGCACGCAAGUGUGAAACUCAAAUGA